UCAAGCUAAAAAGAGCACAGAGAGAAUGCCUUGGCAUUGGGAGCCGACGAAGGACGUGACAAGCUGCGAAAAGCUGCGGGGAGCUGCAAAUAAGCCCUGAUCCGCAGAUAUCCGAAUUGGGAAACCACCGUGAUGAAGAAUCGCGGAGCGUGCGCUGAAUAAAAUAGGCGUACGCGGGGAACCUUCCGAACUGAAACAUCUAAGUAGGAAGAGGAAAAGACAUCAACCGAGAUUCCGCAAGUAGUGGCGAGCGAACGCGGAGGAGGCCAAACCGGGAGUAGCAAUACAUCCGGGGUAAGGACCGCAGAGAGUACGGCAGAGCAUAGCAGAAUCACUUGGGAAAGUGAACCGAAGAAUGUGAGAGUCAUGUAAGCGAAAUGCGAAGCCGACCGGCGGUAUCCGGAGUAGAUGCGGACACGAGGAAUCCGCACCGAAGACGGGGGGACCACCCUCCAAGCCUAAAUACUACCCAAUGACCGAUAGUGGAGAAGUACUGUGAAGGAAAGGUGAAAAGAACCCCUGGCGGGGAGUGAAAGAGAACCUGAAACUCUGUGUUUACAAGCACACAAAGCGCGUCAAGGCGCGAUGUGGUACUUUUUGUAGAACGGUCCGGCGAGUUAUUGUAUGCAGCGAGGUUAAGUAUUUCAGAUACGGAGCCGAAGGGAAACCGAGGGUGAAUAGCCCGAUAUAGUUGCAUAUAAUAGACCCGAAACCGGGUGACCUAUCCAUGUGCAGGUUGAAGGUGGGGUAAAGCCUACUGGAGGACCGAACCGACCCCCGUUGAAAAGUUGGCGGAUGACGUGUGGAUAGCGGAGAAAUUCCAAUCGAACCCGGAUAUAGCUGGUUCUCCCCGAAAUAGCUUUAGGGCUAGCCUCGUAUAUGUUUACCGGAGGUAAAGCACUGAAUAGACGAGGGGCCGAGAGGUUACCAACUCUUAUCAAACUAAGAAUGCCGGAUAAACGAGUACGGGAGUCAGACUACGUGAGAUAAGUCUCGUGGUCAAAAGGGAAACAGCCCAGAUCUACAGCUAAGGUCCCAAAUAUACACUAAGUGGAGAAGGAUGUGGCAAUGCAGAGACAACCAGGAUGUUGGCUCAGAAGCAGCCACUCAUUUAAAGAGUGCGUAAUAGCUCACUGGUCUAGUGAUGCUGCGCCGAAGAUUUAACGGGGCUAAGUGUAUAACCGAAGCUUAGGCAGUUUUAAAACUGGGUAGGGGAGCGUUCCAUAUAGGGCGAAGCAUAAGCGAAAGCGUGUGUGGACGGUAUGGAAGUGAGAAUGCCGGAAUGAGUAGCGAGAAUUGCGUGAGAAUCGUAAUGGCCGAAAAUCUAAGGUUUCCAGGGGUAGGUUCGUCCGCCCUGGGUAAGCCGGGAGCUAAGGCGAGGCCGAAAGGCGUAGUCGAUGCACAUACGGUAGAAAUUCCGUAGCCGUCAAAAGAUUUAAGCAUACUGACACCGACACAGGAAUCUGACCCGGGCGCUGGUAGACCCGGGCGAAAGGGACUGAAAUACAAGUAGGGAAGCAGAUGAAUGAUCGGGCGAGAAAAGGUAUGUGUAUAUCUGCGAUGUCCGUACCGCAAACCGACACAGGUAGAUGGGAAGAGAAUUCUAAGGCCAACGGGAGAAGGGUUGUUAAGGAACUCGGCAAAAUUACCCCGUAACUUAGGGAGAAGGGGAGCCCCCGCAAGGGGGCCGCAGCGAAUAGGCCCAGGCGACUGUUUAGCAAAAACACAGGUCUCUGCAAAACCGAAAGGUGAAGUAUAGGGGCUGACGCCUGCCCGGUGCUGGAAGGUCAAGGGGAAGUGUUAGGAGCAAUCCGAAGCACAGAACUUAAGCCCCAGUCAACGGCGGCCGUAACUAUAACGGUCCUAAGGUAGCGAAAUUCCUUGUCAGGUAAG
rnacentral:rRNA from 1 species